rnacentral:rRNA from 1 species
UAGUCCACGCUGUAAACUAUGAACACUUGGUGUUGGAGGUAUUGACCCCUUCAGUGCCGUAGCUAACGCGUUAAGUGUUCCGCCUGGGAAGUACGGUCGCAAGAUUAAAACUCAAAGAAAUUGACGGGGGCCCGCACAAGCAGUGGAGCAUGUGGUUUAAUUCGAUGCAACGCGCAGAACCUUACCUGGGCUUGACAUGUAAUGGAAGACUACCAGAGAUGGUGUCGCCUUCGGGCCGUUACACAGGUGCUGCAUGGCUGUCGUCAGCUCGUGUCGUGAGAUGUUGGGUUAAGUCCCGCAACGAGCGCAACCCUUGUCAUUAGUUGCCAGCAUUUAGUUGGGCACUCUAAUGAGACUGCCGACGUUAAGUCGGAGGAAGGUGGGGAUGACGUCAAGUCCUCAUGGCCCUUAUGUCCAGGGCUACACACGUGCUGCAAUGGUCGUGACAAAGAGUUGCUAGUCUGCGAAGGCAAGCCAAUCUCAUAAACGCGGCCUU